rnacentral:rRNA from 1 species
AUUGAACGCUGGCGGCAGGCCUAACACAUGCAAGUCGAGCGGAUGAAGGGAGCUUGCUCCUGGAUUCAGCGGCGGACGGGUGGGUAAGGCCUAGGAAUCUGCCUGGUAGUGGGGGAUAACGUCCGGAAACGGGCGCUAAUACCGCAUACGUCCUGAGGGAGAAAGGGGGGGAGCUUCGGACCUCACGCUCUCGGAUGAGCCUAGGUCGGAUUAGCUAGUUGGUGGGGUAAAGGCCUACCAAGGCGACGAUCCGUAACUGGUCUGAGAGGAUGAACAGUCACACUGGAACUGAGACACGGUCCAGACUCCUACGGGAGGCAGCAGUGGGGAAUAUUGGACAAUGGGCGAAAGCCUGAUCCAGCCAUGCCGCGUGUGUGAAGAAGGUCUUCGGAUUGUAAAGCACUUUAAGUUGGGAGGAAGGGCAGUAAGUUAAUACCUUGCUGUUUUGACGUUACCAACAGAAUAAGCACCGGCUAACUUCGUG